rnacentral:tRNA from 1 species
GGUCUCGUAGUAGAAUGGAUACUACGUGGGUCUCCGGAACCCGAGAUACAGGUUCGAUUCCUGUCGAGACCACC